rnacentral:misc_RNA from 1 species
GAUGAAGAACGCAGCGAAAUGCGAUAAGUAAUGUGAAUUGUAGAAUUCAGUGAAUCAUCGAAUCUUUGAACGCACCUUGCACCCUUUGGCAUUCCGAAGGGUAUGCUCGUUUGAGUGUCAUUGUACUCUCACACUUCCGAUCUUUGGAUUGGGAGCGGUGGACUUGGGUGUUGCUGCUUACUGUGGCUCACCUCAAAUCGAUUCGUGCACCUCUUGGUUGGACAUAGUACGGCGUGAUAAGUGUCUUCGCCGGCACCUCAGUAGAGGGUGGCUGAUCGGGAGCUCUGCUUCAAACCGUCCUCGGACAACAACUGACAACUUGACCUCAAAUCGAGUAGGACUACCCGCUGAACUUAAGCAUAUCAAUAAGCGGAGGA